AGAGCGAACGCUGGCGGCAGGCCUAACACAUGCAAGUCGAGCGCCCGUAGCAAUACGGGAGCGGCAGACGGGAUAGUAACACGUGGGAACGCGCCCUUCGGUUCGGAAUAACUCAGGGAAACUUGAGCUAAUACCGGAUACGCCCUUACGGGGAAAGAUUUAUUGCCGAAGGAACGGCCCGCGUCCGAUUAGCUAGUUGGUGAGGUAAUGGCUCACCAAGGCUACGAUCGGUAGCUGGUCUGAGAGGAUGACCAGCAUCACUGGGACUGAGACACGGCCCAGACUCCUACGGGAGGCAGCAGUGGGGAAUAUUGGACAAUGGGCGCAAGCCUGAUCCAGCCAUGCCGCGUGGAUGAUGAAGGCCUUAGGGUUGUAAAGUCCGUUUUAACGGGAGAUAAUGACGGUACCGUAGAAUAAGCCCGGCUAACUUCGUGCCAGCAGCCGC
rnacentral:rRNA from 1 species